rnacentral:tRNA from 1 species
UUCCUGGUGGUCCAGUGGUUGGGAGCCUGUACUUUCACUGCCGAAGGCCCAGGUUCAAACCCUGGUCAGGCAA